rnacentral:rRNA from 1 species
AGAGUUUGAUUUUUGCUCAGGAUGAACGCUGGCGGCGUGCUUAACACAUGCAAGUCGAACGGGAAUUACUUUAUUGAAACUUCGGACGAUUUAAUUUGAUUCUAGUGGCGGACGGGUGAGUAACGCGUGGGUAACCUGCCUUAUACAGGGGGAUAACAGUCAAAAAUGGCUGCUAAUACCGCAUAAGCGCACAGAGCUGCAUGGUGCAGUGUGAAAAACUCCGGUGGUAUAAGAUGGACCCGCGUUGGAUUAACUUGUUGGUGGGGUAACGGCCUACCAAGGCGCCGAUCCAUAGCUUGCCUGAGAGGGUGAACGGCCACAUUGGGACUGAGACUCGGCCCAGACUCCUACGAGAGGCAGCAGUGGGGAAUAUUGCACAAAUGGGGGAAACCCUGAUGCAGGGAGAAAAAAAAAGGAAGAAGUAUUUCGGUAUGUAAACUUCUAUCAGCAGGGAAGAUAGUGACGGUACCUGACUAAGAAGCCCCGGCUAAAUACGUGCCAGCAGCCGCGGUAAUACGUAGGGGGCAAGCGUUAUCCGGAUUUACUGGGUGUAAAGGGAGCGUAGACGGUGUGGCAAGUCUGAUGUGAAAGGCAUGGGCUCAACCUGUGGACUGCAUUGGAAACUGUCAUACUUGAGUGCCGGAGGGGUAAGCGGAAUUCCUAGUGUAGCGGUGAAAUGCGUAGAUAUUAGGAGGAACACCAGUGGCGAAGGCGGCUUACAGGACGGUAACUGACGUUGAGGCUCGAAAGCGUGGGGAGCAAAAAAGAUUAGAUUCCCUGGUAGUUCACCCCGUAAACGAUGAAUAUUAGGUUGUCGGGGAGCAUGGUUUUUUUUUUCCGUCGCAAACGCCAGAAAGUAUUCCACCCGGGGAGGACGUUCGCAAGAAUGAAACUCAAAGGAAUUGACGGGGACCCGCACACGCGGUGGAGCAUGUGGUUUAAUUUGAAGCAACGCGAAGAACCUUACCAAGUCUUGACAUCCCUCUGACCGGAAGUUAACCGUUCCUUUCUUUCGUAACAGAGGAGACAGGUGGUGCAGGGUUGUUGUCAGCUCGUGUCGUGAGAUGUGGGGUUAAGUCCCGCAACGAGCGCAACCCCUAUCCUCAGUAGCCAGCAUUUAAGGUGGGCACUCUGGGGAGACUGCCAGGGAUAACCUGGAGGAAGGCGGGGAGGACGUCAAAUCAUCAUGCCCCCUAUGAUUUGGGCUACACACGUGCUACAAUGGCGUAAACAAAGGGAAGCGAGAUUGUGAGAUGGAGCAAAUCCCAAAAAUAACGUCCCACAUAAAACUGUAGUCUGCAACCCGCCUACACGAAGCAGGAAUCGCUAGUAAUCGCGGAUCAGAAUGCCGCG